rnacentral:rRNA from 1 species
ACGCUGGCGGCGUGCCUAAUACAUGCAAGUAGAACGCUGAAGAAAGGAGCUUGCUUCUUUUUGGAUGAGUUGCGAACGGGUGAGUAACGCGUAGGUAACCUGCCUUGUAGCGGGGGAUAACUAUUGGAAACGAUAGCUAAUACCGCAUAACAGCUUUUGACACAUGUUAGAAGCUUGAAAGAUGCAAUUGCAUCACUACGAGAUGGACCUGCGUUGUAUUAGCUAGUAGGUAGGGUAACGGCCUACCUAGGCGACGAUACAUAGCCGACCUGAGAGGGUGAUCGGCCACACUGGGACUGAGACACGGCCCAGACUCCUACGGGAGGCAGCAGUAGGGAAUCUUCGGCAAUGGGGGCAACCCUGACCGAGCAACGCCGCGUGAGUGAAGACGGUUUUCGGAUUGUAAACUCCUGUUCUUAGUGAAGAAUAAUGACGGUAGCUAAGGAGCAAGCCACGGCUAACUACGUG